UUCUGUUGAAAAUCUGGCAACUUUUAAAACACUAUUUGGGGAAAUAAAUUUUUUGAGCCUGGCAACGCUGCAGUGUAGUAAACGAAAAUUAUCGGUGUGCCAAUCAAGCAAAGGGACAAGGAACUUCCGAAUAUGGCCUAACUGGGGGCACAUAACAAAACCUAAUCCUAAUAUUUACAUUUGUAAAGAAUAUCCUGUUUGUUUUUAUUUUUUAUUGUCGAUUGUGCAGCGAAAUUGUGAUAGCAAAUCAAAUAUAAAGUAGUUUAUCGCCUACAGAACUGAAUUAGUCCAUAGCAGUUAUCAGUUUGCAAGUAGCAAGGGCUUUCUUGAGAAGCUUAUACUUGUAUUGUUGUAAAUUGUGGGAGUAGGGCAGACAGGGAAAAGUCUUAUUUUGUACUGUUCCCAAGGCUCCCCAUGCAAUACAUUUAAAUGAAUUAUCCAAACAAAGCCGGGGACAAUGGAUAAAAGCCACAAGAAGAACAGAUAUGACCGAACUAAAAUUAAAAUAUGAAAAGUAAACAUUUUGCAAGUGGAACAACCACCAGAUAUUUAAAAGGUAUAAAAAGAAGAAACUGCUGGAACUUCAAAACAAAUGUGUUUGACUAGUAAAGAUUUGGAUAAAUAACAGGAGUUACUUUGGGCUAUAGCUACAUGCAGAUUUAUUUCCUUGUGGCUUCCUAUGUUAAUUCUUAUUAAUUAUACACUUAAUAUGUUUUUAGUCUCAGGAAGAUUUUAUAUUUGAUUAUUUUUGAAUAAACAUUAUUAUUAUUA